rnacentral:lncRNA from 1 species
GCUUCCACUAGAUGUCAACGAUCUUUAUAAAGUUGUUUGAAGCGUCUAUGAUAAACAGAGAGCAAAUUAGAAUCCAAGGAAGUUGACAUGUCAUCACUUCAUUUUUUUGCGCCUGCGCAUAAAUCUGAGAAACGUGAGUUUGUCAUCAUUUUUUAUCUAGAAAUAGGAUAGGUUGUGUGAAAAUAUUACUGAUGUUUAACGUUAAAAAUGGACCAAAAGAUUAAUGCUAAACAACAUUUGACAUGUUUGAACGAACAUAAAUAGAUUAUUUACUAGGUUUUUUUAGCUUUUCGGCGUGAUUUUACCAGCCCCCCCAACCACGUUUUGUGGGAGCAUAAUGAACGCUAAGUACUUGGUGUUAUUUGGACAUAAAUUAUGAACUUUGUCAAAAGAAACCACAUUUGUUCCGGACCUGGAAUGCCUUCCGGACCUGGGAUCCUGCCUUCUGAUGGAGAUAAUCAAAGGAGUGUGAGAGGAGUCCACGUGGAGUGAGCAUGGGGAAAGGUGCUGUUCUAAACUCCUCUUAUGUUGCUGGUAUACUGGUUUACGGAUGGACAAGACAUAAUGGUGAAACAUUGAAAUUGGG